UGCAUGUCUAAGCACAAGCCGAAUACGGUGAAGCCGCGAAUGGCUCAUUACAACAGCCUUUGUUUAUUUGAUCUUGAAAAUCUACUUGGAUAACUGUGGUAAUUCUAGAGCUAAUACACGCUUAUAAACUCUAGCCGUCAGGCAAGGGUGCAUUUAUUAGUACAAAACCAAUCGGGGCUUCGGUCCCGUAUCUUGGUGAAUCUGAAUAACUCAGCCGAUCGCAUGGUCCUCGUACCGGCGACGUAUCUUUCAAGUGUCUGCCCUAUCAACUUUCGAUGGUAGUUUAUAUGACUACCAUGGUUUUAACGGGUAACGGAGAAUAAGGGUUCGACUCCGGAGAAGCAGCCUGAGAAACGGCUACUA
rnacentral:rRNA from 1 species